GAUACUAUGGGGUUCUUUUUGCAUGGUUUACAUUUGAAAAUAUUUUGUAUGGAUUUUAAUUUUCACUUUUGAUUUUGUUUAUUAGAAAUUCAUGUCAUUCAUGAUCUAAUUCCUUACCUAAAAGCAUCUCAAUAGGUAAUGGUUGGUCCAGUCUUUGUGAGGCAAGAAUCAGUGAGAGAUUUUGGAAAAGUUUUCUCUUGGAGUACACACAGCAACCUUGCUUGUUCGGUGACUGCCUUCCUUAAUCGUAUAUAAUUUGUGAGUGGAAUAAGAAAAUAGCUGCUCUACAUACAUUAGUCACUUUAGUAAAUAAUGAGACUUCACAGUGAUGCUGUCUACAGGCACAUGUGAUUGUAGUGUGUGCUUUAACUUUUCUAAAAAGAAAAAUGUUUCAUUGUUGACUGUUUGAGUAAUAAUACAUACAAAGUGACGUGUUAACCUGUUUAAAAAUAGUGCCGUGCUCAACGAGGCAACCACACCAUCAGUCGACUGCUGAUUUCUUUUACUGCAGUGUCAUCAGUCACUAAGGCAUUCACAGUUGAGAUCAGAGGAGCCUCAAAUAGGGGGACACUGAGAACCUAGGACAUUACAUUGGCAUUGCAUGGUGUGUCCAAACCCUUCGCUAAUAUGAAUAGGUGAACGUGUUGGGGUUCUGAAAGCAAUUCAGUGGCUCUGAAGAAUUCUUGGAAGCUAGGUCAGGAGAAAACAAAUGUCAGUGCUGAUGAAGCCGAAAAUUUCAAGUGCAUUCUUCAAAAUAACACUUUUCUCUGGCACUAUAGCUUUAGUUUGGAGUACAGCCAACAAUAACGGAAUUCCUGGGAUGGAUUUUA